UUCCGUGUGAACAGUUUGCGUGUCUGCGGC
rnacentral:piRNA from 1 species